UUUAUGGAGAGUUUGAUCCUGGCUCAGAGUGAACGCUGGCGGCGUGCCUAAUACAUGCAAGUCGAACGAUGAAGCUUCUAGCUUGCUAGAAUGCUGAUUAGUGGCGCACGGGUGAGUAACGCAUAGGUCAUGUGCCUCUUAGUUUGGGAUAGCCAUUGGAAACGAUGAUUAAUACCAGAUACUCCCUACGGGGGAAAGAUUUAUCGCUAAGAGAUCAGCCUAUGUCCUAUCAGCUUGUUGGUAAGGUAAUAGCUUACCAAGGCUAUGACGGGUAUCCGGCCUGAGAGGGUGAACGGACACACUGGAACUGAGACACGGUCCAGACUCCUACGGGAGGCAGCAGUAGGGAAUAUUGCUCAAUGGGGGAAACCCUGAAGCAGCAACGCCGCGUGGAGGAUGAAGGUUUUAGGAUUGUAAACUCCUUUUGUUAGAGAAGAUAAUGACGGUAUCUAACGAAUAAGCACCGGCUAACUCCGUGCCAGCAGCCGCGGUAAUACGGAGGGUGCAAGCGUUACUCGGAAUCACUGGGCGUAAAGAGCGCGUAGGCGGGAUAGUCAGUCAGGUGUGAAAUCCUAUGGCUUAACCAUAGAACUGCAUUUGAAACUACUAUUCUAGAGUGUGGGAGAGGUAGGUGGAAUUCUUGGUGUAGGGGUAAAAUCCGUAGAGAUCAAGAGGAAUACUCAUUGCGAAGGCGACCUGCUGGAACAUUACUGACGCUGAUUGCGCGAAAGCGUGGGGAGCAAACAGGAUUAGAUACCCUGGUAGUCCACGCCCUAAACGAUGGAUGCUAGUUGUUGGAGGGCUUAGUCUCUCCAGUAAUGCAGCUAACGCAUUAAGCAUCCCGCCUGGGGAGUACGGUCGCAAGAUUAAAACUCAAAGGAAUAGACGGGGACCCGCACAAGCGGUGGAGCAUGUGGUUUAAUUCGAAGAUACACGAAGAACCUUACCUAGGCUUGACAUUGAGAGAAUCCGCUAGAAAUAGUGGAGUGUCUGGCUUGCCAGACCUUGAAAACAGGUGCUGCACGGCUGUCGUCAGCUCGUGUCGUGAGAUGUUGGGUUAAGUCCCGCAACGAGCGCAACCCCCUUUCUUAGUUGCUAACAGGUCAUGCUGAGAACUCUAAGGAUACUGCCUCCGUAAGGAGGAGGAAGGUGGGGACGACGUCAAGUCAUCAUGGCCCUUACGCCUAGGGCUACACACGUGCUACAAUGGGGUGCACAAAGAGAAGCAAUACUGCGAAGUGGAGCCAAUCUUCAAAACACCUCUCAGUUCGGAUUGUAGGCUGCAACUCGCCUGCAUGAAGCUGGAAUCGCUAGUAAUCGCAAAUCAGCCAUGUUGCGGUGAAUACGUUCCCGGGUCUUGUACUCACCGCCCGUCACACCAUGGGAGUUGUGUUUGCCUUAAGUCAGGAUGCUAAAUUGGCUACUGCCCACGGCACACACAGCGACUGGGGUGAAGUCGUAACAAGGUAACCGUAGGUGAACCUGCGGUUGGAUCACCUCCUUUCUAGA
rnacentral:rRNA from 1 species